rnacentral:lncRNA from 1 species
UUUUUUAUAUAUAUAUUUAUUUAAAAUUUUUCAAAAUAGUUAAAUUGAAUAGGGGCAAUUACUUGUAUAUUUCUAAAAAGUUUUAAACUUUCUUAUUUACCUUCCUUAGAAGGUUAAUAUAAAAAAUACAUUUUUUUUAACGUUCUAAGUUCUUUCAAAUAUAUCUCGAAAGUUAAAUUCUGUUAGUGGACUAUAAAAAACAGCCGUUAUUUCUAUGAAAUUACUAUUUUGUCCUUUUAAUUAUAUCCUUCUAUCGUCAUUAACUUUUCUGGUAUUGAGAUCUAUCUAACGCUGUUAGAUAAAAUGGAGUUAGAAAAAAACAUAUAGGGAUAUGCUUUGGGAUAUGCUUCUGCGUUCUCCGGUGGGACUGCGGAAAAUAUAUCACAACCGACUCAUCACAAUAUGGGUAACGCACGGAAACAAAUAGGGUAUUUUUUCCUCGUAUUUUCUCACCGCACGUAACACAAUCUUCCCGCAAUCCCAAACGAAGCCUAAAUUAAUUAGGGGCAAAAAUAAUAUUUUAACUUUUGCAAAGAUAUCAUUCUAUCGUCACCAACUUAUUAAUAUUUAUUUUUAAGUUAGGGACAAAAGAUAUAUUUUGAUUUUUUUUUAACUCUGAUAAACAUUUAACCCGAAUUUAAUCUGAGAUGACUUAACGAGUUAACAGAUACUAACAAUAAGUUAUUUUUGAAUAAUAGAAAAAUAUAUGAGAAAUAUAUUUAAAACCAAAAAAGAUAAAGAUAUAUAAGAUAUUUUAAGAGGUGUAUAA